rnacentral:lncRNA from 1 species
ACAGGCUACCUCCUAGCUGCAAAGGAGUCUGGAAAUAUGAAAGGGUCUGCAAACAUGAACAAGUCACCCUUUUAUCUUUGGCUUCAGUGUAUCAUCUGUGAAAUGAUGAGGUUGGAGAAAAUGAUCUUGAGAGCCAUAGGGUACAGGAGCUGGUUCAUAUCAACUUAUGGGAGCUGACUGUGUACUUCUCAUCCCAACUCUGAGUUCAGCAGUGUCAUGUUGGUGGCCUGAAAUUGGCAUUAGUGAGAGUAUUUUACACCAUGGAAAUUAGCAAAUGCUGCAAAUCAGGGUAUUCCCAUCCACUCCCUCCCUAAGAAGUUUGUUAAACAUUUACCACUGUCUGAGAGGCCUUCCAGUAUUAACAGCCUCUGGAUAUAUCAUUUCAAUUUUAUAAAUCAGAGUUUCAAAGGGCAAUGAGACCUUACUCCAGAGACUUCUAAGCCUCACCCAUUCAUUUUUCUGUUUUAUGUCUCUAGGUUUCUCAUAUCGUCCCCUUCUCCAUUUCCUUCAAUCCUUGCUUUCUGCUUUUUUACCUUCUCCUCACUCUGUCUCAGAGACCAUGUCAUGAAAUUUAGAAACAAGUUUAUUUGUUAUGACUAUACACCAGGCUUUUGUGUUUCUGAUUGUCAAAUGAGAAUCUGUCAAAUGUCUAAUGUGAUAUGCAUUUAAUCUAAAUAUUUAAAAAACAAACACCACUUCUUUCUUUCCACCAUUACACCUGAAGUUGAUUUUUACUUAAGUACAACCCUGAAUUACUUUUCUUCCUAGUGUAUUUUUUUAAUGAUCAAGGAUUACUUUUAAUCAUCUGCUAAUCAACAAUAUGAUUAAGUAUUUUUUCAAUUUUGUCGACAGCACAGAAUUGGAAAUUGACUUACCAAAGGCUUGGUUGCCAUCUCAUCAGAAUCAUUAACAAUUUUUAUUGUGGAGUUUUUAAUUAAACUUUUUAUUCUGAGAUAAUUGUAGAUUCACAUUCAGUCGUAAGAAAUCAUACCAAGAGAUACAGAGUUGUGAGAAUAAUACAAAGUUUACAUUCUGCCAAACUGUGGUACAAUAUCAUAACAAAGAUACUGACACUGAUAUAUCCUAGUGCAUCUAAAAUUUUCAAUCAAAUAUUUAAGGUUCUGUAACAUGGUUUUGGAUAUGAAAGGGAGUGUACCUCCCACAAAGGAAACAAUUAUUAUUAUUCUUUUAUCUUUUAAAAAAUGUUAUUUUAAUUUUUGUGGCUAUAUAGUAGGUAUAUAUAUUUAUGGGGUACAUGAGAUAUUUUGAUAUAAACAUCCAAUGUGUAAUAGUCACAUCAGAGCAAAUGGGGUAUCCAUCAACUCAAUCAUUUAUUCUUUCUUUGUUCCAGAAACAAUCCAAUUAUAUUCUUUUAGUUAUUUUAAAAUGUACAAUAAAUUAUUGACUGUAGUCACCCUAUUCUAUCAAAUGCUAGAUCUUAUUCAUUCUAUCUAACUAUAUUUUUGUUUUUGUCAACCUUCCCCACUUCCCCUUCACCCUCUAACCCUCUACUACCCUUCCUAUCCUCUGGUAAUCAUAUUCUACUGUCUCCAUGAGUUCAAUUGUUUUAGUUUUUAGCUUGCACAAGUAAGAGAGAACAUGCGAAGUUUGUCUUUCUGUGCCUGGCUUAUUUUACUUAACAUAAUGAUCUCCAGUUCCAUCCAUGUUGUUGCAAAUGGUAGGAUCUCAUUCUUUUUAUGGCUGAAUAGUACUUCAUUGUAUAUAUGUACCACAUUGUCUUUAUCCAUUUGUCUGUUGAUGGACACUUCGGUUGAUUCCAAAUCUUGGCUAUUAUGUGUAGCACUGCAGUAAACAUGGGAGUGCAGAAAACUCUUCAAUAUACUGAUUUCCUUUCUUUUGGGUAUAUACUUAACAGUAGGAUUGGUGGAUCAUAUAGUAGUUAUAUUUUUAGUUUUUUGAGGAACCUCCAAACUGUUCUCCAUAGCAGUUGUACUAAUUUACAUUUCUAGCAACAGUGUACAAGGGUUACCAUUUCUCCACAUCCUGGCCAGCAUUUGUUAUUGCCUGUCUUUUGGAUAAAAGCCAUUUUAACUGGUCAUUGUAGUUUUGAUUUGCAUUUCUCUGAUGAUCAGUGAUGUUGAGCACCUUUUCACAUACCUGUUUGCCAUUUGUAUGUCUUCUUUUGAGAAAUGUCUAUUCAGAUUUUUUGCCUUUUUUUUUUUUUUUUUUUUGAGACAGAGUUUCGCUCUUGUUGUCCAGGCCGGAGUGCAAUGAUGUGAUCUCGGCUCACCACAAUCUCCGCCUCCUGGGUUCAAGCGAUUCUCCUGCCUCAGCCUGCCAAGUAGCUGGGAUUACAGGCAUGUGCCACCACGCCCGGCUAAUUUUGUAUUUUUAGUAGAGGUGGGGUUUCUCCAUAUUGGUCAGGCUGGUCUUGAACUCCUGACCUCAGGUGAUCCUCCUAUCUCGGCCUCCCAAUACAGGUGUGAGCUACCGUGUGUGGCCUUUUUGCCCAUUUUUAAAUUGGAUGAUUAGAUUUUUUUCCUGUAGAGUUAUAUGAGCUCCUUAUAUAUUCCAGUUAUAAAUCCCUUGUCAGGUGGAUAGUUAGCAAAUACUUUCUCCUACUCGGUGGGUUGUCUCUUUGUUGAUUGUUUCCUUUGCUUUUUAACUUGAUCCAGUCCCAUUUGUCCAUUUGCGCUUUGGUUGCUAUGCUUGUGGGAAAUUACUCAAGAAACCUUUGCCCAGUCCAGUGUCCUGGAGAGUUUCCCCAGUGUUUUCUUUUAAUAGUUUCAUAGUUUGAGCUCUUAGAUUUAAGUGUUUAAUCCAUCUUGAUUUGAUUUUUCUAUAUGGCAAGAAAUUGUCUAGUUUUAUUCUUCUGCACAUGAAAAUACAGUUUUCCCACACCAAGGAAACAAUUGUUAGGCCCACAGCAGGUGCCAAGGGGUCCAGCCAACUUCCUUCUUCUGUUUAAAUCUGUCCCCAUCUUUUCUCUUCCCAGCAUUCCACAGCUGGGUCUUUUCUUGCUCAAGUUGGAUGAAAAACAAAGUCUAAUAUCUUAUUCCUCAAAGACAUGGUUUUGAGAACUAGCAGCAUGGGUACCACCAGGGAGCUUGUUAAAAAAGCAGAGUCUUGAGUGCCACCCCAGCCCUACUGGAUCAGAAUUCGCAUUGUAACAAGCUCCCAGGUGAUUCUCAAGCACAUUAAAGUUUGAGAAGUUCUGAUUGCAUGUUCUCAGUCAUAUGUGAAAGCUGAAAAAAGAUGAUAUCAUAGAAAUAAAAAGUUAGAACAGAGGAUACUAGUAGCUGUGAAAGGUAGGGGAAGGAGAGAUAGGGAGAGAUUUGUUAAAGGAUACAAAAUUACAGCUAGAUAGGAGGGUAAGUUCUAGGGCUCUAUAUCGCUAUAGGGUGACUAUAAUUAAUAUUAUAUAGUUUAAAAUAGCUAGAAAGACAUUGAACAACCCCAACAGAAAAAAAAGGUGAAUAUUUGAGAUGAUGGAUAUGCAAAUUACCCUGAUCUGAUCACUACACAUUAUUUGUAUGGAAACAUCACUGUGCACCCCAUGAAUAUGUGUAAUUAUUAUUUGUCAAUUUAAAAAAUGAAAGAAAAGAAAGCAAAGAUAAUACAGCCUUUAAAAAGAGAAGUUUUGGUGUAAUAGAUUACUGGGCUAUCUUCUAAGUCAGACGCAUCUUUCUCUUGGGGUUCUCUAAAGAGGUCCACCUCCAAUUCUAAACACCUCCUCAUCACGAGAAUCUAUCACCAGUUCUACGGAGAGAACCACAGAGUCAGUAGACCUAGGUUACCACCGUCUUCUAUCAAGUCUCUCUCCCUCAUUGAGCCCAGGGAAUGUAAGGAUGAGAGAUUUCCCUCCUUAGGACUGAUCCAUAUUCCAGUAAGCCCAGGGUUCCGUCUCUGAAGGGGUGAUUAAGGGAGGAAAUCUGGCAGCCUGUGAGAGUACUCCUUCAUAGCUACCUUGAAGGUGGGAGACAUUGUCUCCAUUCUUGCUUUGUCAUUCAUAAAUUGAUCAAGCUCUCCUAGUCGCAUGAAGCCGUUUCUUCUUCUGGCCUUCCGUUUUUUAACUCUUCUGCAAAGAGAGUGAAUGAGAAUAAAUGUUUGAUGGCUACCUGCUUUGUGUCAAGUGUCAAGGGCUUUACUUAAGUGAUCUCAUUUAAAUCUUGUCUCCCACUGUGUAAGGUAAACCCUAUCACAUCCCUUUUGCAGUCUUGAAUAAAAAAGAGACUUAAAAAAAAAUACUUUGCCAAACAUCAUACCUAAGUGAAAAGAUGUGAUUUUCCUCUGAUUUGAUUUUGAGGUUUCUCUCUGAAGAAUGGCUAUAAAUUCUAGUCCUGUCCUGCUGGGGCUCCAGGGGAGGUAUUUGUGGAUGUUUACAGAAUGCCUUUCAUGGGAUGCUUCUUCCCAGUAGACAGCCUAAUGCCUAAGCGUCCAACCUGUGACCAGGUGUUCCUCUCACAGGAAACUUGUUUUGUACUUGCAGACACCCUUGUACCUCUUGUCUGACGUGUUCAUUUUAUUCCUACCAUGAUAGCCACUCUCUAGGAGAGCCCUGACAUGGAAAGAACUUAGGUUCAGAUUGUGGGUCAGGUGAGACAUAGAGGAGACAGCACAACCAAACAAAUGUAAUAACACAAACAGUUUUAUUACUCGCAGCUCCCAGAGAGAAGAGAGCAGCACACUUUGCAGGGCCAGUGGGAAGACGUGAGCUAUCCAGAGCGUGCAUGCUGAGCCAGCAGGUGGAGAGAAGGAGGGAGGGGGAGGACUUGUUUAUAGGACCCUGGGAUUGACCAUUAGGGUAUUUUUGUGGUCAGCCACUGUGGGAUGUGUUGUGUUCUGAAUCAGUGAAAUGAGGAACAAUAGAGUAUAUCACAAACCACAUAGGGAGGGGAAGUUUUAGGUAAGGCAAAGGGAAUUGGGUCCAACUGUGUUUCAAGUAACUUAUGUCGAGCCUGAAAAUAGAUGCCAAGGCAGCAACUACAUUAAACAAAUUUAUGACAGAAGAUAAUUAUUCUGGGUGGGUAGACCCUGAAAAAAUUAUCCUUCCUUGGAUAAAAUCAAAGAGCACUUCCUCUGACCUUGGUCUUUUUAACUUCUCACCUGAUUACAGCUACUGGGCUUUCGUUAGCAAUCUUGUCCAUGCCCACAGCAUUUGAGGUUAAACUAAGUACUUUCUGCGUUCUGUUUCAUUUAGUCUUCAUAAGAUCCCUGUAAUAUUGCUUUUAUCCCAUUUGUCAGAUGAGGAAAAUGGAAAAUGAGACCUGCCAGAGGAGCGAAAGAAGUUGUUGAAAAUCUCGCAGAAACUAUGUAGGCAAUACCCACUAGGAUGACUAUAAUAACAAAAGACAGAUAGUAAGAAGUUGGAGAAGAUGUGGAGAAAUUAGAACCCUCAUACACAGGUGGCAUGAAUGUAAAAUGGUACAGCCACUUGAGAGAAGUCUGACAGUUCUUCAAAUAGUGAAACAUAGAGUUACCAUAUGACCUAACAAUUCCAGUCCUAGAUACAUACCCCCAAAUGAAAGAAUACUGCCACAAAAACUUGUAUACAAAUGUUUAUAGUUUAUAGAAGUAUUCAUGAUGGUGAUCACAGCAGGAGACAGACAAAUUCCUAGGCAGACAGAGAUGGGUCCUGGUGAAACCCAACCCUCAAGCCAAAGACAGCCUGAAGCCUGAAAACUAAGCCAUUUGCCAAGCUGUGGGUGGCGGGAACAAGCGAGAGCUGCGACAUUUCUUGGGGGCUUGGACCUUGGGACUCCCCACGUGAGAGCUGUAACACCCCUUGGGGCUCCACAAUUGCUGGCAUCUCCAAGUUUUCGGGCACCACUGUGUUCCCCUCAUCUAGACGGCAGAGUCCAAUCCAGAGAUCGCUUGCGGUACACCCAGUCCAGGCGCUGGCUGAGCGUGGAUCCUGCAGCAAGUGUGGGAUCUGGGCCAGGAUGCAAGCGGAGUGCAGCCUGCCAGGCCCAGUGGGCAGAGUGAGCCCAGCAGGCCCAAGCAAGGCCCUAGGCAGUGGUCAUGGCGGCCACAGAGAUUUUCAGCUGGGGAAGGGGCACUCAAGGAAUUCUGUAACACUGUAACCCUCCCUUCCACUCGCUGAGCGAUGGGUGAGAAAAAGCUGCUGGGUGCCAUUUCCUCUCGCUCACUAAACCACAAAAGCUGUAAUAAUAGCCCCAGAUGGAAACAACCCAAAUAUCCAUCAACUGAUGAAUAGCUGAACAAACUGGCAUAUCCAUACAAUAGAAUAUUAUUCAGCCAUCAAAAG